UACGGGGGGGGCAAGCGUUGUUCGGAAUUACUGGGCGUAAAGGGCUCGUAGGUGGCCAACUAAGUCAGACGUGAAAUCCCUCGGCUUAACCGGGGAACCGCGUCUGAUACUGGAUGGCUUGAGUUUGGGAGAGGGACGCGGAAUUCCAGGUGUAGCGGUGAAAUGCGUAGAUAUCUGGAGGAACACCGGUGGCGAAGGCGGCGUCCUGGACCAAUACUGACACUGAGGAGCGAAAGCCAGGGGAGCAAACGGG
rnacentral:rRNA from 1 species